AUUGAACGCUGGCGGCAUGCUUUACACAUGCAAGUCGGACGAGUGGCGAACGGGUGAGUAACGCAUCGGAACGUACCGAGUAAUGGGGGAUAACUGUCCGAAAGGACAGCUACUACCGCAUAUUAUUCGAGCGGCCGAUGUCUGAUUAGCUGGUUGUCGGGGUAAAGGCCCACCAAGGCGACGAUCAGUAGCGGGUCUGAGAGGAUGAUACGCCACACUGGGACUGAGACACGGCCCAGACUCCUACGGGAGGCAGCAGUGGGGAAUUUUGGACAAUGGGCGAAACCCUGACGCAGCCAUGCCGCGUGAAUGAAGAAGGUCGUCGGGUUGUAAAGUUCUUUCGGUAGCGAGGCGGUAACGACAGAAGAAGCACCGGCUAACUCCGUGCCAGCAGCCGCGGUAAUAC
rnacentral:rRNA from 1 species